rnacentral:rRNA from 1 species
UACGAGUGGUGCAAACGUUAUUCGGAAUUACUGGGCUUAAAGGGUGCGUAGGCUGCUAUGAAGGUCUGAUGUGAAAUACCACGGCUCAACCGUGGAACUGCGUUGGAAACCACAUAGCUGGAGUGAGACAGAGGUAAGCGGAACUGAUGGUGGAGCGGUGAAAUGCGUUGAUAUCAUCAGGAACACCGGUGGCGAAAGCGGCUUACUGGGUCUUUACUGACGCUGAUGCACGAAAGCUAGGGGAGCAAACGGG